rnacentral:lncRNA from 1 species
CACAUUCAAAGUCACAAACAUGACUGAUUUUGAUGAGCUGAUACUAUAAAAUUUCUACACUAACAUUCAAAAUAAACAUGUUUACAUUAUAUGCCCCAAAAUAUAAAGUUGUUUUGAGUAAUUUAUCUUAAAACUCAUUUGAGUAUUAUACUGAAUUCACUAUAGUAAACAAAUAAAAAAUAACUUAUGUUUGUAAUCUAAAAAGUAUCUUAAGUUUUUUCAAUAAUAUCUAUAAAUCAAACGAGGAAAGUGUUUAAAAUGGUUUUUUUUUAAAACUUGAUAUUCAAUUCAAGGACCGAUUAAUUCAAUGAGAUCAAUCUCACGAGCAUAUAUUAUCAGACUAACAAAAGUGUCUGGAAUGAUAUUUAAAAAGGAAUAUACUGGAACAUGUCAUUAUUAGAAAAGUUAAAAAAAAAUUAGCAAAAUAAGAACGUAAACACUCCUUAACUAAUAAUUACAUAAUGAAUUUCAUUAAAUUUCUAUUUGAUGAACAUUAAUAAUCAUUUCAAAGUCAAAUAAAUUUCCGCAUAGAAAAAACUUCACAUAUAUAUUGUGAACAUUCAAAAUUAUAAUGAAGAUUUCAAUUGUAUUUCAUUUUUUUUUUUUAGGGAUUUAAAUUGAAUAUUCAAUUUUAAUUGUUAAUUAUAUGUCAUAAAUUAUAAGUUAUAUGCCACACAAUCAUUUUUCCCCUGGUAGCACAUUAAAAAAUGGUUAUAAAAUGACAUUUGUUUGUGAAAGAACUUUAAAUUGAUUGUUUAAAGAAAAACUUCAAGAGCAUUAAGCACUCAAAUAUAUAUAAAAAGUUAACGUGUCUAAUAUGAAACAAGUGUAAAGUUGACUCUUAUUAUUUUUAUCAAACUUUAAUAAAAUAUUGCAUUUUCCUUAAAAGAAAAAUAUUGCAUCGGGGUUUCUUUUAGAUCAUUUUCUUGAUGUCCAUAUUAUAUUGAUCCAAACAUACGACUCAAAUAACAAAUAUUUUUCAAUCAAGUAAAAAACAAGGGGGGUUUUCGAUCACGAAAACGUGACGUAUAAGCUAAGAGUAAAAAUAGAGUCCUAUUAAUUCUAUUGGAUUUGAUUAAUUAUAUUCUCAUUAACAAUCACAACUUUAAGAUCAAUUCAAACAUUUGAUUUUAUCUUAACCAUAUUCAAAGUCACAAACAUGAUUAAUUAUGAUGAGCUGAUACUAUAAAACUUUCUACACUAACAUUCAAAAUAAAUAUUGUUACAUUAAAAUGAUCUACACAAGUGAUUCACAUUGAUAUAAGUUGGGAUGGAGGUGAUGCCUCUUGAUGUUUUUCCACUCUCCUUGCUUAUCAAAAAAAUAACAUUGAUAUAAGUUCUUUCACAUCAUUACGAAUAGGGCACAUCAUAACAAAUUAGCCUAAAAUGUGAUGAGGAUGAAACUUUAGAGAAAAGUACAAAUAGGGGACAAAUA